rnacentral:rRNA from 1 species
AUUGAACGCUGGCGGCAUGCCUUACACAUGCAAGUCGAACGGCAGCACGGGGCAACCUGGUGGCGAGUGGCGAACGGGUGAGUAAUGCAUCGGAACGUACCUUUCAGUGGGGGAUAACGUAGCGAAAGUUACGCUAAUACCGCAUAUUCUGUGAGCAGGAAAGCAGGGGAUCGCAAGACCUUGCGCUGAUUGAGCGGCCGAUGUCAGAUUAGCUAGUUGGUGAGGUAAAGGCUCACCAAGGCGACGAUCUGUAGCGGGUCUGAGAGGAUGAUCCGCCACGCUGGAACUGAGACACGGUCCAGCUUCCUACGGGAGGCAGCAGUGGGGAAUUUUGGACAAUGGGGGCAACCCUGAUCCAGCCAUGCCGCGUGAGUGAAGAAGGCCUUCGGGUUGUAAAGCUCUUUCGGCCGGGAAGAAAUCGCACGGGCUAAUACCCUGUGUGGAUGACGGUACCGGAAUAAGAAGCACCGGCUAACUACGUGCCAGCCGCCGCCGUAAGAC